GACGAACGCUGGCGGCGUGCCUAAUACAUGCAAGUAGAACGCACAGUUUAUACCGUAGCUUGCUACACCAUAAACUGUGAGUUGCGAACGGGUGAGUAACGCGUAGGUAACCUGCCUGGUAGCGGGGGAUAACUAUUGGAAACGAUAGCUAAUACCGCAUAAUAUUAAUUAUUGCAUGAUAAUUGAUUGAAAGAUGCAAUUGCAUCACUACCAGAUGGACCUGCGUUGUAUUAGCUAGUAGGUGAGGUAACGGCUCACCUAGGCGACGAUACAUAGCCGACCUGAGAGGGUGAUCGGCCACACUGGGACUGAGACACGGCCCAGACGCCUACGGGAGGCAGCAGUAGGGAAUCUUCGGCAAUGGACGAAAGUCUGACCGAGCAACGCCGCGUGAGUGAAGAAGGUUUUCGGAUCGUAAAGCUCUGUUGUAAGAGAAGAACGGGUGUGAGAGUGGAAAGUUCACACUGUGACGGUAUCUUACCAGAAAGGGACGGCUAACUACGUG
rnacentral:rRNA from 1 species